GACGAACGCUGGCGGCGUGCUUAACACAUGCAAGUCAAGGGGGUUUUGGCCGCGAGGCUGGAGCAACCGGCGAACGGGUGCGUAACACGUGAGCGACCGACCCUCCGUGGGGGGGGAUAGCCGGCCCAACGGCCGGGUAAUACCGCAUACGCUCGGGCAGUUGCAUGAGUGCCCGAGGACAGCGUGGGGGGGCAACCCUUUGGCGCCAGAGGACGGGCUCGCGGCCUAUCAGCUUGUUGGCGGGGAACGGCCCACCAAGGCGACGACGGGUAGCUGGUCUGAGAGGAUGGCCAGCCACAUUGGGACUGAGAGACGGCCCAGACUCCUACGGGAGGCAGCAGGUGGGAAUAUUGCG
rnacentral:rRNA from 1 species